rnacentral:rRNA from 1 species
AGAUUAAGUUAUUAAGGGCGCACGGUGGAUGCCUUGGCACUAGAAGCCGACGAAGGACGUUACUAACGACGAUAUGCUUUGGGGAGCUGUAAGUAAGCUUUGAUCCAGAGAUUUCCGAAUGGGGAAACCCAGCACGAGUUAUGUCGUGUUAUCUGCAUGUGAAUACAUAGCAUGCAAGAAGGCAGACCCGGAGAACUGAAACAUCUUAGUACCCGGAGGAAGAGAAAGAAAAAUCGAUUCCCUGAGUAGCGGCGAGCGAAACGGGAAGAGCCCAAACCAAUAAGCUUGCUUAUUGGGGUUGUAGGACACUCUGCACGGAGUUACAAAAGAAUUUGUUAGACGAAUAACCUGGAAAGGUUAAUCA